rnacentral:rRNA from 1 species
GUAAACCCAAGGUUUCCAGGGGAAGGUUCGUCCGCCCUGGGUUAGUCGGGACCUAAGCUGAGGCCGAAAGGCGUAGGUGAUGGACAACAGGUUGAUAUUCCUGUACUACCGAUAACCGUUUGAGGGAGGGGAUGACACAGUAGGAUAAGCUAAGCACACUGUUGGUUAUGUGUGCCCAAGCAUUGAGGCAGUCAAAGUAGGCAAAUCCGCUUUGAUAAUGCUGGGAUGUGAUGGGGAGCGAAAUUUAGUAGC